UGACAGCUCUGCUUGAAAUAGGAGGAAUGUACUACUUCUGCAACAGCACAAGCAUGCAGUGGGGUCCAGCAGAGGGGGUAAAAUGUAUGCACACCCAGCUCUCCUAUUCAAGUCUUGCUUCAACAUUACCCUCUGCAACUGGUAAAUGGCCAAAAUAAUGGGUGACGAUAGUGGAAAGUGGUGGUGAUCAAGCCAUGUGACAUUUCUGCAGGGUCUACUGAAGGACAAACUGGGGGUGGGGGACAGCUGCAUAGGGACAUCUGGGUUGUGUUAUAUAGGUUGUGACAGGCUGCAUGUUAUAUAGGUCUAAGGCAUACUGAAUAUGUAUCAGUCUGCUUUGGUUUAGCAGAUGUACCUUAACUACCUACAUCUCCAGCUAACAUAAAUCCUUCACCUCUUGGCUCAGUUAGUAGCCUCUGAAAGGAUCCAGAUUCUGAUAAGGAAGAGUCUGAGUUAUGGAGGCAGAAGUGCAGAGCUGAAAAAUAUGUUCUUGGAGGUUUUGGAGAGGGGCAUUAAUGAAGACACUUUCCCCAAAGGCUGUUCGUGGGAGCUAAAAGUUAGCUUGUUCCUGUAACUUGUUCCUCUGAUUUUACUGUUAAAUAAUUCUGCCAGGUUUCCCCCACAGCUCUUUCCUGAAGGAUUUCUCAUUGUCAGGACACUUAUUUAUUGGACCAUGUUUGGCUAUCAGAGUGAGUUUGAGAUAACCCUUUUGUUCCAGUGCAUUUCAGUGGCUAUUUAUUCCUAUUCAGCAAAGUGAUAUUGUGUGCAAAUAUUUGGCUCUGUGAUGCAUGAGGCUUGAUUUAUAAUCCUCCAUGCUUGCUCACUUAUGUGGCUUGAAUUCCUGUUAGUGGAUUCCUUCCUGCACGUGUGUCCGUGCGCGCACACACCAUCUGAUGGCUUUUCCUCCUCUCUUGUGUCUGACUUAAGAACUUGCAAGUCAAUGAAGUCACUUUAGGAAGAUGGUAAGAUAUUGGCACAGUUGACUGUGGCUAUAAUUCCAGCAAAGACAACCACAGGAAGUUUCAUUUUGUAAUAUCACCUAGUUUCAAGCUCUUUAAAUCUACUAUCCAGUUUGAUCAGAGUUGUUAUAACUCUAUGGUAACCACUGUCCUAACUAUUCCAAUAAAAAAGAUUAAUUCCAAACAUGUCUGUUUCAAUACAGCUAAAGUUAGUUAUGACUAGAACCUUUGAAACCCAAUGAAAGCUCAUAAAUUAGAGCCAAAGAAGACAUUAGUAAGAACGGGUUUCUAAAAGUGCUUCCAAGUGCCUCUCUUCUUAUUUCCUUAAAAGAAAAAUAGUUUUGAGAAGCUUGAUCCUCAUCACAACCAUGGCACCUGGAGAGAGGGAGAGAGAGAGGGAGGUUCACUCCUUACCCUUGCACUAUUUCCCUGCUAAAAAUCACCUUCCAAAUGCUAUUUGUCUCCAAAGCGGCUGAGGCUUCUCACAUGACUGCUCGAAAGCGGGCUAAGGGAACCCAACCCGCUUUUUUUCCUGGCGGCUAGCCCACUUAAGCCCCCACUUAAACGAGGUUAGCAGAGUGAGCACUCUACUAACCCUGUUCUGGCGAUCGUGAGUCACCACGGCGUGGCUCUGUGCCAUGGCGACUCAUGAGGAGACCCCCGACUAGGAGGCUCCAACAAGCCUCCCAGCCUCAGGGGUCUUCCCAGAAUGCCCUGUGCACUUGCGUGGAGCAUUCUGGGACUUCCAGGGGCCGGGUGGCUCCCCCAUCCCCGCUGCCCCUACCAAUUCCAUGCUGGAGCCAGUAGCUGUGUGGGCAGCCGAUCCAGCUGCCCAGGGAUGGCUGGAUGUUCAUCUGCAGGGAGAGCGGGUCAAGCCUGCUCUCCCUGCAGAAGCCCUACAGGUGCUAUACACCGAUCGUGUGUAGAGCCUCAAAGGUCUUGCUUCCCCACCCCCACAUAUUCUUUUUCAUAUACAGAGCAGGCCCCACUGCACCCCUGCUUCGUAUAGGAAUGAUGCAGAAAUGUGCAAGACUGCCUUGUCGUAUCAAGUUUAGUUACCACUACACUUUAGCUCAGGGUUAAGAAACCCUGCUUUAGCUGAAUUGGAGCCUUCAUAUUUAACACUGAUUUAAAGCUUCCCACUUAGUAAUUCCUUUGUACCUUUUGUUUUACUGUGCUUUUAGUGUUUUUUUCAGCCUCAACCUUUUCUCUUUCAUUUAAAUCCUAUUCUCUGUUACACAGUUGAUUCCUAUAUUUUUUUUUUACAUUUGAAAAGUUAUCAUUGUUUUCCCCACACACACAAUUUAGCAUCCAGACACAGAAGUGAAUAGUUCAUGUCUUAUGUGGUUGAAAAUUCUCUCAGAAUAAUAGUUGGAUCUUCUCCUGUGAUGUCUCUUCUACCUCCGGUCUAGAGGGAGCAGAGCUAUUCACUCUUCUACAAUGUGAUAUUGAAACAUCAAAGUGUCUCUGAGAAAUAGCUAAUUGAUUUGUGUGGGUUUUUUAUGGACUUGUCUUUAAUCUUGUGCAUUCUGUUCAACAACUGUCUGAAGAAACUGAAUUACCACAACGUUGUGUUUGACUUGCACCUUUUAAAAAGAGUGAGUCAACCCCAACCUUGAAUAUUGAGAUAUGUUAGGGUGGGGCCAGCCUAGGAUUUUGUACUGUCCUCUUUUAACAGCAAAAUAGAGACAAAAAGCUGGAGCCAGUGGCAUAACCACCACUGGAAGGGGGUGGGAGGGACAAGUGUCCCUGGGCUGCAAGAGUGGGUGGGUGUCCCCUGCCUCCACUGCAAGGCCACUAUCCCAUGCCCGCCAUGCCCCUUCCACUUGCAUCAGCAUGCUGGCACCAGGCACAGAUGUAUGGCCCAUCCAGCUAGUGAACACUUUCUUCAUUGACCCGAAGAGGACAGGAAGCACCCAACUGGGCUGGCGAAGAAAGUGCCAGCUGGACGGGCCACAUGCCCAUGCCCAGCACCAAUGCCUCCUGUCCACUACCCCGUGUGUGCUGACACAGGCAAAAGGGGGCAUGGCGGGCACGGGGUAGUGUGCAUGGCAGCACCAGGGACUGGAGGGUGCUACAUCCACUUUCCCAUCCUGUCCCAGGGCAGCUGCCAGCCUUCCUGAGCCCCUGGCUGGAACACAAGUGUGUGGCAUGCUGCUGAACACAAGUGCCAGUGGCACCUGCCCCCAUACCAUUUAGACACACUAGUUACAUGGAACACAUUGUGAGUCAUGGCCUUUAUGGCCUCUCCAGUGGCAGCCAGUAACAUGAAGAAAUAGCAUAGAACACUCAUAAUGGGGUGACUGAACUCCACAAGUGUUUCUAAACAUUUUGACCUGGCAGAGAUUGCUCCUAAGGCUAUUCCAUAGUGACUGUAAUGUCUGCUCUGGUGCAAAACCUGGGAAUUAGCUAAUGUGGACUACUGUCUUACAGGGCUCAUUCCUGUACUAUGUGUGUUGCUAGCAAAACAUAUAAUUAUAUAUCACCACAACUGCCACAUCUUUAUAUAUACAUAUACACAGAGAGAAAGAGAGUAGCAAAAUCUCUGUUUUCAGCAAACUUUUGGUGGAGUUUCCAGUACAAACUCCUGUAUAUUGAAGGUGUUUUUGUACAUGAAAAUAAGGCACAUGCUUUUUGCAUCACAGAUUCGUUGUUGGAAGUCCAACAUGGCCUCAUUGUCCAGAACAAGGUCACUGUUGGGCCACCAAGGGCCAAUUCUGAUCUUUAGUCCUUGGAACUGCCACCACCAUAGAUCCCCUGUGCAAUGAGUAAAACCUAGUAAUAGUAUUUUAGCUAGUUUGGUAUAAAACUACUUUCUGUAACUCAAAAAAAUCUCUCUUACUAAGCUCAUAGUCACACUGUUUGACUCUAUUUUUGUUGUUGUUGUUGUUGUUGUUCUGCCAAACUACUCAUACUAAUGCAAGGCUGAGUUUGAUACUUCACUUAUAUUGGGGCAAAAUGGUCCUUUUUAAAUUUAAAAAUUGUUUUAGAAUGAAUAUUCAAAGAUGUAUGCAUUGUAUUACAACAGAAAAGCUUAGCAAAUUGAGUUGCUAGGUUUCAUGCUUGUUUUUCAGUAAUGAUUAAUAAACAUACUAAGUUUAACAUGGUAAAUUAAAAAAAUAUGUUGAGUUUGUAAAUGUCUAAACAUGGUGAGAAAAGCAAUGGGAAAACCUGGUAAGUCCUGAUGACUUGCUAAAUUGUGAUACUGAUUAAGAAACAUACUAGGUUUUGAUAUUGUACAUCUAGACCUUUUGUGAAACAUAUCAUAAAGCAGAAACUACAGGGAAGAUUACAGUGAAAGGUUUAUCGGAUGAUAGGGCAGAAUCUAGUGAGUCAGUAUAUAUACUUAACUCUUUUUGUAUGAAAUUGACCUACUAGGUUUUGCCAUUGUGCAGGGGCUAUGUGACUUUGAAUUGACAUGUUUGUGAGUAUGCAUUUACCCAGAGUAUAUUUACAUUACAUACGGGCCUGGAUCCAAAUAACCACAUGACUGGUUCUGUGCACCCAAGGGGGAUUGCCCCCAGGUUGCAUGGCAAACCUAAUUUGGAACUGUGAAAAAUUUGAAAACCAGUUGGAUGUGGCAUAGGGAUCUGCCUCUUAAAAGGAAGCAGUCAAAUACUAUGGUCAUGUCCAAGCAGCUCUUUAGAACCAAUCCAAAGGGGUUAGUUACUUGUAUCUCAGGACAAAAUCAGUAUGAUAGCUGUAAAAUAUAGAGAGCUUUGCAACCCAAAAGCCACCAACCAAUGCCUGACAACAAUACCUUGGUUGUAUCUGUGUCUGCCUUAGUUCCUGUGUUAUGGAAUAGUGUAUGAAAUGUGUCCUGAAAUCUCUUCCUUGUCUUCUGCUUGACUAUGCCCUGCAGCAACAGGCACAAAUGUAGCUCUGAGGUAAGAGAAUCCCUAUUUGAUUUCUUCCUCACCCUCCCCAUCGAGUAGGGGGGAGACUGUGUAUACAAGUUGGCACAAUUCCUUACUGUGAACAUUUUCUGCUGUGAUUCAUAUUGAAAAUACAGAUAAUAUAUUUAAAGUUAUUGUUAAUGUACAAACAAAAGACACGUUUAAAAGAGAGAUGAUUUUAUAAGACGUACUCCAAAUGAUGCAAUGAUGUUUUUUAAUGGGAAGUUCUGGAAUAAAUGGAAAGGUUACCAAUAUAAAGCUAGUAUUCAUUCAUCAAAGCAGUGUCUGAAUGUUUUACAAAAAGCGUGUUGUGUUUUUUAAUGCAGAUGUGACAUGGAUUGUUGUGAAUGUUGAUCAUUUUCUCACUGAGGCUUGUACUGCAAAUAUAUAAUAAAUGCUACAAACACUUAAAAUAAAAUUUGCUGAAUACCA